rnacentral:rRNA from 1 species
GGGUUGUGAGGUUAAGCGACUAAGCGUACACGGUGGAUGCCCUGGCAGUCAGAGGCGAUGAAGGACGUGCUAAUCUGCGAUAAGCGUCGGUAAGGUGAUAUGAACCGUUAUAACCGGCGAUUUCCGAAUGGGGAAACCCAGUGUGAUUCGUCACACUAUCAUUAACUGAAUCCAUAGGUUAAUGAGGCGAACCGGGGGAACUGAAACAUCUAAGUACCCCGAGGAAAAGAAAUCAACCGAGAUUCCCCCAGUAGCGGCGAGCGAACGGGGAGCAGCCCAGAGCCUGAAUCAGUGUGUGUGUUAGUGGAAGCGUCUGGAAAGGCGCGCGAUACAGGGUGACAGCCCCGUACACAAAAAUGCACAUGCUGUGAGCUCGAUGAGUAGGGCGGGACACGUGGUAUCCUGUCUGAAUAUGGGGGGACCAUCCUCCAAGGCUAAAUACUCCUGACUGACCGAUAGUGAACCAGUACCGUGAGGGAAAGGCGAAAAGAACCCCGGCGAGGGGAGUGAAAAAGAACCUGAAACCGUGUACGUACAAGCAGUGGGAGCACAGAGCAAUCUGUGUGACUGCGUACCUUUUGUAUAAUGGGUCAGCGACUUAUAUUCUGUAGCAAGGUUAACCGAAUAGGGGAGCCGAAGGGAAACCGAGUCUUAACUGGGCGUUAAGUUGCAGGGUAUAGACCCGAAACCCGGUGAUCUAGCCAUGGGCAGGUUGAAGGUUGGGUAACACUAACUGGAGGACCGAACCGACUAAUGUUGAAAAAUUAGCGGAUGACUUGUGGCUGGGGGUGAAAGGCCAAUCAAACCGGGAGAUAGCUGGUUCUCCCCGAAAGCUAUUUAGGUAGCGCCUCGUGAAUUCAUCUCCGGGGGUAGAGCACUGUUUCGGCAAGGGGGUCAUCCCGACUUACCAACCCGAUGCAAACUGCGAAUACCGGAGAAUGUUAUCACGGGAGACACACGGCGGGUGCUAACGUCCGUCGUGAAGAGGGAAACAACCCAGACCGCCAGCUAAGGUCCCAAAGUCAUGGUUAAGUGGGAAACGAUGUGGGAAGGCCCAGACAGCCAGGAUGUUGGCUUAGAAGCAGCCAUCAUUUAAAGAAAGCGUAAUAGCUCACUGGUCGAGUCGGCCUGCGCGGAAGAUGUAACGGGGCUAAACCAUGCACCGAAGCUGCGGCAGCGACGCUGAUGCGUUGUUGGGUAGGGGAGCGUUCUGUAAGCCUGCGAAGGUGUGCUGUGAGGCAUGCUGGAGGUAUCAGAAGUGCGAAUGCUGACAUAAGUAACGAUAAAGCGGGUGAAAAGCCCGCUCGCCGGAAGACCAAGGGUUCCUGUCCAACGUUAAUCGGGGCAGGGUGAGUCGACCCCUAAGGCGAGGCCGAAAGGCGUAGUCGAUGGGAAACAGGUUAAUAUUCCUGUACUUGGUGUUACUGCGAAGGGGGGACGGAGAAGGCUAUGUUGGCCGGGCGACGGUUGUCCCGGUUUAAGCGUGUAGGCUGGUUUUCCAGGCAAAUCCGGAAAAUCAAGGCUGAGGCGUGAUGACGAGGCACUACGGUGCUGAAGCAACAAAUGCCCUGCUUCCAGGAAAAGCCUCUAAGCAUCAGGUAACAUCAAAUCGUACCCCAAACCGACACAGGUGGUCAGGUAGAGAAUACCAAGGCGCUUGAGAGAACUCGGGUGAAGGAACUAGGCAAAAUGGUGCCGUAACUUCGGGAGAAGGCACGCUGAUAUGUAGGUGAAGUCCCUCGCGGAUGGAGCUGAAAUCAGUCGAAGAUACCAGCUGGCUGCAACUGUUUAUUAAAAACACAGCACUGUGCAAACACGAAAGUGGACGUAUACGGUGUGACGCCUGCCCGGUGCCGGAAGGUUAAUUGAUGGGGUUAGCGCAAGCGAAGCUCUUGAUCGAAGCCCCGGUAAACGGCGGCCGUAACUAUAACGGUCCUAAGGUAGCGAAAUUCCUUGUCGGGUAAGUUCCGACCUGCACGAAUGGCGUAAUGAUGGCCAGGCUGUCUCCACCCGAGACUCAGUGAAAUUGAACUCGCUGUGAAGAUGCAGUGUACCCGCGGCAAGACGGAAAGACCCCGUGAACCUUUACUAUAGCUUGACACUGAACAUUGAGCCUUGAUGUGUAGGAUAGGUGGGAGGCUUUGAAGUGUGGACGCCAGUCUGCAUGGAGCCGACCUUGAAAUACCACCCUUUAAUGUUUGAUGUUCUAACGUGGACCCGUAAUCCGGGUUGCGGACAGUGUCUGGUGGGUAGUUUGACUGGGGCGGUCUCCUCCUAAAGAGUAACGGAGGAGCACGAAGGUUGGCUAAUCCUGGUCGGACAUCAGGAGGUUAGUGCAAUGGCAUAAGCCAGCUUGACUGCGAGCGUGACGGCGCGAGCAGGUGCGAAAGCAGGUCAUAGUGAUCCGGUGGUUCUGAAUGGAAGGGCCAUCGCUCAACGGAUAAAAGGUACUCCGGGGAUAACAGGCUGAUACCGCCCAAGAGUUCAUAUCGACGGCGGUGUUUGGCACCUCGAUGUCGGCUCAUCACAUCCUGGGGCUGAAGUAGGUCCCAAGGGUAUGGCUGUUCGCCAUUUAAAGUGGUACGCGAGCUGGGUUUAGAACGUCGUGAGACAGUUCGGUCCCUAUCUGCCGUGGGCGCUGGAGAACUGAGGGGGGCUGCUCCUAGUACGAGAGGACCGGAGUGGACGCAUCACUGGUGUUCGGGUUGUCAUGCCAAUGGCACUGCCCGGUAGCUAAAUGCGGAAGAGAUAAGUGCUGAAAGCAUCUAAGCACGAAACUUGCCCCGAGAUGAGUUCUCCCUGACUCCUUGAGAGUCCUGAAGGAACGUUGAAGACGACGACGUUGAUAGGCCGGGUGUGUAAGCGCAGCGAUGCGUUGAGCUAACCGGUACUAAUGAACCGUGAGGCUUAACCUUACAACGCCGAAGGUGUUU